rnacentral:tRNA from 1 species
GCCUCCAUAGCUCAGUGGAUAGAGCGCUGGUCUAAUAACCCAGAGGCCGGGAGUUCGAUCCUCCCUGGAGGCA